UACGGGGGGGGCUAGCGUUGUUCGGAAUUACUGGGCGUAAAGCGCACGUAGGCGGACUAUUAAGUCAGGGGUGAAAUCCCGGGGCUCAACCCCGGAACUGCCUUUGAUACUGGUAGUCUCGAGUCCGGAAGAGGUGAGUGGAAUUCCGAGUGUAGAGGUGAAAUUCGUAGAUAUUCGGAGGAACACCAGUGGCGAAGGCGGCUCACUGGUCCGGUACUGACGCUGAGGUGCGAAAGCGUGGGGAGCAAACAGG
rnacentral:rRNA from 1 species